ACGGGAGGCAGCAGUGGGGAAUAUUGGGCAAUGGGCGAAAGCCUGACCCAGCAACGCCGCGUGAAGGAUGUAGGUUUUCGGAUUGUAAACUUCUUUGACUGAGGACGACAAUGACGGUACUCAGAAAACAAGCCCCGGCUAACUACGUGCCAGCAGCCGCGGUAAUACGUAGGUGGCGAGCGUUGUCCGGAUUUACUGGGUGUAAAGGGCGUGUAGGCGGGAAAGCAAGUCAGAUGUGAAACUCCGAGGCUUAACCUCGGAACUGCAUUUGAAACUGUUUUGCUUGAGUGAUGGAGGGGUAAGCGGAAUUCCUAGUGUAGCGGUAAAAUGCGUAGAUAUUAGGAGGAACACCGGUGGCGAAGGCGGCUUACUGGACAUUAACUGACGCUGAGGCGCGAAAGCGUGGGGAGCAAACAGGAUUAGAUACCCUGGUA
rnacentral:rRNA from 1 species